rnacentral:sRNA from 1 species
GCUGGGCACGGUGGCACAUGCCUGCAACCCCAGCAGCUUGGGAGGCUGAGGCAAGAGGAUCUCAUGUUCAAAGCCAUCUUCAGCAACAGUGAGGUGCUAAGGAAUUCAGUGAGACCCUGUCUCUU